GGAGCUUGCUCCUGGAUUCAGCGGCGGACGGUGUGAGUAAUGCCUUAGGAAUCUUGCGCUGGUAGUGGGGGAGCUAACGUUUCGAAAGGAACGCUAAUACCGCAUACGUCCUACGGGAGAAAGCUCAGGGGACCUUCGGGCCUUGCGCUAUCAGAUGAGCCUAGGUCGGAUUAGCUAGUUGGUGAGGUAAUGGCUCACCAAGGCGACGAUCCGUAACUGGUCUGAGAGGAUGAUCAGUCACACUGGAACUGAGACACGGUCCAGACUCCUACGGGAGGCAGCAGUGGGGAAUAUUGAGACAAUGGGCGAAAGCCUGAUCCAGCCAUGCCGCGUGUCGUGAAGAAGGUCUUCGGAUUGUAAAGCACUUUAAGUUGGGAGGAAGGGUUGUAGAUUAAUACUCUGCAAUUUUGACGUUACCGACAGAAUAAGCACCGGCUAACUCUGUGCCAGCAGCCGCGGUAAGUACAGAGGGUGUCAAGCGUUAAUCGGAAUUACGGCCUGGGCGUAAAGCGCGCGUAGGUGGUUCGUUAAGUUGGAUGUGAAAUCCCCGGGCUCAACCUGGGAACUGCAUCCAAAACUGGCGAGCUAGAGUAUGGAUAGAGGGUGGUGGAAUUUCACUGUGUAGCGGUGAAAUGCGUAGAUAUAGCGAAGCAGAACACCAGUGGCGAAGGCGACCACCUGGACUGAUACUGACACUGAGCGUGCGACCAAGCGAGUGGGGAGCAAACAGGAUUAGAUACCCUGGUAGUCCACGCCGUAAACGAUGUCAACUAGCCGUUGGGAGCCUUGAGCUCUUAGUGGCGCAGCUAACGCAUUAAGUUGACCGCCUGGGGAGUAC
rnacentral:rRNA from 1 species